UACAGAGGUCUCAAGCGUUGUUCGGAUUCAUUGGGCGUAAAGGGUGCGUAGGUGGCGCGCUAAGUCAGGUGUGAAAUUUCGGAGCUUAACUCCGAAACUGCAUUUGAUACUGGCGUGCUUGAGGACUGGAGAGGAGACUGGAAUUCACGGUGUAGCAGUGAAAUGCGUAGAUAUCGGGAGGAAGGCCGGUGGCGAAGGCGGCGCUCUGGAACAUUUCUGACGCUGAGGCUCGAAAGCGAUGGGGAGCAAACAGGGAUUAAGAA
rnacentral:rRNA from 1 species